GCAUGGCUGAAUUCUGUUCCAGCUGCGGAGUGGUGGAUACAGUCAGACACCAUGCCAGAGCGGGGCCUCCUUUCUGCUCUUUGGACCGACGGCUUCUUUCUGCCUCAGUCAAAUGUUCAGAAAUGAGUACAGGA
rnacentral:snoRNA from 1 species